rnacentral:rRNA from 1 species
GCAUAUCAAUAAGCGGAGGAAAAGAAACCAACAGGGAUUGCCUUAGUAACGGCGAGUGAAGCGGCAAUAGCUCAAAUUUGAAAUCUGGCACCUUCGGUGUCCGAGUUGUAAUUUGUAGAAGGUAACCUUGGGUUUGGCUCUUGUCUAUGUUCCUUGGAACAGGACGUCACAGAGGGUGAGAAUCCCGUGCGAUGAGAUGCCCAUUCCUAUGUAAGGUGCUUUCGAAGAGUCGAGUUGUUUGGGAAUGCAGCUCUAAGUGGGUGGUAAAUUCCAUCUAAAGCUAAAUAUUGGCGAGAGACCGAUAGCGAACAAGUACAGUGAUGGAAAGAUGAAAAGAACUUUGAAAAGAGAGUGAAAAAGUACGUGAAAUUGUUGAAAGGGAAGGGUAUGAGAUCAGACUUGGUAUUUUGCAACCUUUCUUUCGGGAGGGGCCCCUGCAGUUUACCGGGCCAGCAUCGGUUUUGAUGGCAGGAUAAUGGUAUUGGAAUGUGACUCGACUACGGUUGAGUGUUAUAGCCUUUGCUGAUACUGCCUAUCGAGACCGAGGACUGCGUCUUUGACUAGGAUGCUGGCAUAAUGAUCCUAUGCCGCCCGUCUUGAAACACGGACCAAGGAGUCUAACGUCUAUGCGAGUGUUUGGGUGUAAAACCCGUACGC